UAAGCACUCUGCUUGAUUCGAGAGUUGUGUGCAUGUGGUACGUAGUGCUUUAUUUUCCCCUGUUAUAAGCACAAAAGGAAGAUAAAAACAAAAGGGGAAAUGAAAAAACAAAAGAAGAAGAAGAAGAGAAAAAGAAUAGUGCUUUAUAGUUCGUGUGAAAGCCACUUUCAGUUCUUCACAAGGACAUUCUAGUUGGCGAACAUUUCUUGUGUACAAAAAAUAGAAAAUAUAGCCACAGUAAUGCUUCAAACGUGAAUGGAAAAAAAGGUAAGACCAUCAGAUUUUGUUGUAUCUUGGUUAUCUAUUUAUGUAAGAUAUAUUCUUAACUGAAUUAAGAUGAGAAGUUGAUUAUGAUGCUUGUGAUGUCUUACUUUGUAAACUGUUUAAUUCAAUUGACGACAAGGAGGACUGCUUAUUGGAAGGGUGCCACUAGUUUAUAUGAGCAGGCAGGUUGGUACUUUAGUUUCUUAUUUUUUUAGGGGGAUGAACAUGAGAAUUGCUAGAAUUUAAUGAGAAAUAUUACUUCUUCGUAAGAAGAAAUUAUUUUGAGUUGAUUGUUUCAUUAUCUUACUUUGAGUCCAAACCUCUUGAAUUCUGAGCACUUAAGGUUUAACGUAACAAUCUGGCAGCUAAUUCAGCAGUGAGUUGACACUCUUUUUAGUCUAAAUAUUCCAUUAUCUUUAUUUCACUAACAUACAUUUUGUCACAAAAACAGUUGAACUUGAAACUAUAGAUUUAAAAAGUUGUGAUUUUAUGUUGCUUUACUAUAAGUCUAACAUCCAUCGUUUAAAAUGGAACUUGCAGACUUCAGCUCUUCGUGUUGAGAAUAUAUCAUUCAUUCGUAUCAGAGGAACUUCAGCUAUAGAUUUGCUUGCAGUGACGACUACAGUGUGAAAGACUAUAUUUGGAAGAUAUUGAACUCGUAUUAAACUGUGGGAAUAUUAGUCAUUUUGUUUGGAAGCCAGAGGUUCAAGUGUAGGUCUCCUAGCUUCUCAUGUAAAAAAAAUUAUUGAGCAAAAAGUGACAUCCAACCCUGUGCUUCAGUCCAUCUAAAAGAUGGUCAAGCUCUUUUUUAUGUAUAUAAGCUGGCUGUGAGCAGGCAAAAUAUGUAUUGCAGAUAUCGUGUUCUGUGUUGAGCAUGUCAUUGUAUUUACGACCACUUUUGGAAGAUAAGAAACAUCUUCAUCUACAACCCAUUGAACCAGAAAAAGUCGGAUUAAAGAAUGAGCAUAGAUA
rnacentral:lncRNA from 1 species